UGAUGCUUGCUGCGGCUGCUGCUGUUGCUACAAUGUUGUUGUGAGGCGUGCAUACUGCCAAUCCAUCUGAUGAAGUUACACCUGUCGGAAUGUGGGUGAAGUUGCACCUGUCGGGCAUGCAUGUUGAAGGGAAGGUAUAUUUCCGGGACGAUGUGUUCCGAUUUCUGCAAGAGAAAUCACACAAAAUGAACUACAUAUGGUCCACUCUUUCGAGCACAUUGAAUCUGUAGAGCUUACAAGCCGUAUUUUUUCUAGGUGCAUGUGUUCUAUUUUUUUUCUUUUUGUUGAGUGAUGCACAUGAGACCAUGUGGUGGGUGUGUGUGGUUGUUGACAGAUAUGUUGAGAUUAGUCUUUAGAUUUCUUAGUUCCUGUUGAUUGGUAACGAGGGGUGACCUCUUUUUGAUUUCCUAGAAGGUUGAGAAAUCGAAAGAGGCUAUCUUUGACCAAAGGGAUUGCUGCACAAUUAGAGGAUGAAGCAUUGAUUAGUCUUGUGGUCUUGACUUCGCUUGCUUAAUUUUGUACCAACAUGUGCAUGAAAUGUAGUGACUGUUAGAUGUUAAAUGCCAUGCAUUAAAAACACUUACUGUAACUAUGAUUUUGUCCAUCUUUUCCACUAACAGGCCAUUUUGUUCGUGCUUUC